rnacentral:rRNA from 1 species
UACGUAGGGUCCGAGCGUUGUCCGGAAUUACUGGGCGUAAAGCGUGCGCAGGCGGCUUCUUAGGCAUGACGUGAAAGCCCCGGGCUCAACCCGGGAGGGUCGUCGUGAACCGGGGGGCUUGAGGCCGGUAGAGGUGGGUGGAACUCCUGGUGGAGUGGUGAAAUGCGUAGAGACCCGGAGGAACACCAGUGGCGAAGGCGGCUUCCUGGUCUGCGACUGACGCUGUGGCGCGAAAGCUAGGGGAGCAAACGGG